AUACGUAGGGUGCGAGCGUUGUCCGGAAUUACUGGGCGUAAAGAGCUCGUAGGUGGUUUGUCGCGUCGUCUGUGAAAUUCCGGGGCUUAACUCCGGGCGUGCAGGCGAUACGGGCAUAACUUGAGUACUGUAGGGGAGACUGGAAUUCCUGGUGUAGCGGUGAAAUGCGCAGAUAUCAGGAGGAACACCGGUGGCGAAGGCGGGUCUCUGGGCAGUAACUGACGCUGAGGAGCGAAAGCAUGGGUAGCGAACAGGAUUAGAUACCCUGGUAGUCCAUGCCGUAAACGGUGGGCGCUAGGUGUAGGGGUCUUCCACGACUUCUGUGCCGUAGCUAACGCAUUAAGCGCCCCGCCUGGGGGGUACGGCCGCAAGGCUAAAACUCAAAUGAAUUGACGGGG
rnacentral:rRNA from 1 species